CACCAAACCACAGUUUGCCUCGCUCCCUGUGAGCAAUGCUGUUGAUAUAACGACCCAGCUCAGACAGGGAAGGAUUUCUAGUGGCUGCCACUGAUUUCCUACAGGAGGGCACUGUGGAAGGAAGGAGAGGUGGUACGCAUGGGGAAAGAUCAAAGUGCUUUCAGAGAUCUGCAGUAGUAUCGCAUUCUUCUUUCGAUUACGUGAGUGCAGCUGAAGACCUGGAGCAGCAGUGAUGAGGUGCAUGCACUGCAGCUACUCCCUUCCCUAUUCUCAUAGGAAGCUCAUGCGUUGAGGGAAGAAGUUCCCAGAGCUUUCUGUGCUGGUGAAAGAGGCAGCUGUGCUAAUUCUGAUACCGAGUAUUCUCUUACAAACUGAGAUGCUGCAAAACUCCUCAGAAGAGCAGAAAAGGAAGACUUACACCUCUGUCUGACACAGUUAAAAUCUCUCCCUGUGCACUUAUCAGCUUGCAUAUCUCUGUGAAACUCUGUGCUUCAGCGAGGGCUACAUCACUAGGCAACUACUGCAAAGAAACAUGAGUUCUACAGGAUUUCAGGGAAGAAUUCUUCCUCUACUUUUGUUCACUUCUGAGUUUGUUUCUUGGCACCCUCUUCCUUAAUGUGAGGUCAGCCAGAGUACUUUCACAGUUUUUCCUGUCUGUUUUGUCGUUUGUUUCUGUUUCGCAGGCUUACAGCUCCGAAGUCUUUCCAAGAGAGAAGAGAAACCAAACUGGAAGAUGAGAGCAUUGCACAGGCACCAAAUGCUGUUUCUGUUCAACCUUUGUUUCAUCGAGAAAAGUGGGUGUCUAAAAUCAAAGCACGCAUUACUUCCCAUCACUUACUUGUAAUCUGAGACUAGUGUUUUAGUGGAGUCUGCUGCCAGACUACAGAGAAAAGGAAACUUAGUGGAUCACCAGGUUUUUCAGCCUCUGAGAAAGAUAACCAACCAAGAGGCUUCAUGAAUUUCUUGAGAAGAUAGAGGAUCUACUGAAGUUACCACUUCUUUCAGAAAACCAUGGCUGUCAAUGACUAAGGCAUGAACAAAGAAAGCUAAAUCUAUUUUAUCUUAUGUUAUAAAAUGUAAAGGAAAUGAUACUUCCAUAAUGUUUUAGGCCUUUCUGCAGAAUUUGUGAAAAUGCAGAAGAAUGGUGUUAGAUCCGGAAUAUGUAGUUUAGGUGGGAGAUUUCUUAGUAAUAAACAGCUUUGAAAAGGAAGAGAGUGAUUUAGCAGGUGUUGCCUCUGCUUCACCAUCCUUCCUGUAAUUCAGAAAUGCCAAAAGAUAGGUGAGUUUCUCAGUGCACACUGAAGGUCAACAAACCUAUCUUUACCAAGGCUGAAAUUGUUCUAGUACAGGUUAGAGGAAAGAAAACAAAUGUGAUCUGCUAAGCGUGAGACUACACCCAGAAAUCUGAGCAGUGGUUUUAUGAUUAUCCUAAGCUGUGCUUGAGGAACAGCUAACUGUAAGACUUACAUACUUACUCACAGGCAGGUGUCAGAUGAAGUAGCUGCAUGGAUGCUGGCCAUGCUGAAGUGAAUGGUGCUGAGACUUAAUGAAACAUGGUCACAGUUCCAUCUUUCUGUCAUUAGAUGCAUGUCAGUGCGUCUGACUGCUUGGGGAAAUGCUCUGCAUGCAGUAGAUGUGCUUUCCUAUGGAUACUACCCCAACUGGGAGGGGCAAGUAGUCCACAGAAGAUAUUAUUAUCCACAAUUACGGAUAGAAAGAAGUAAAGGAUGGUUAUUAAUAAGAAGCUCUCAUCUGCAAAGAAAAUUUGGUUUACCUGUGAGUAAAAGCCACUUGGAUAUAAACCUAGCUGCCACAUCACUAACUUAAGGCAGAAAUGUUACUCUAGAACUGGUAGAAAAUGAUCACUCGCAGAUUCUCAGGUACGGCUGAUGACGUUUCAUGCCCAGCAUAUUUUGUGCUCCAAAUUUCAGGUGACCAAGUGAAUAUCCUCUCAAUAUAAAGACUAAAAUCAAU
ensembl:lncRNA